ensembl:lncRNA
AAUCAAUUGUCAGUGCCCUGAAUAUUAUUGAUGGAACUAUCAUAAUUUAUGCAGAGACUUCCACAAUCACAACUCCUGAUGAAACAUCCACCACUAGUUUAGCAGAAACUAGUACAACAACAGAGACUUCCACAAUCACCACUCCUGAUGAAACAUCCACCACUAGUGCACCAGAAACAUCUACAACAACAGAGACUUCCACAAUCACGACACCUGAUGACACAUCCAGCACUAGUGCACCAGAAACAUCUACAACAACAGAGACUUCCACAAUCACGACACCUGAUGAAACAUCCACCACUAGUGCACCAGAAACAUCUACAACAACAGAGACUUCCACAAUGAUGACUCCUGAUGAAACAUCCACCACUAGUUUAGCAGAAACAUCUACAACAACAGAGACUUCCACAAUAAUGACUCCUGAUGAAACAUCCACCACUAGUUUAGCAGAAACAUCUACAACAACAGAGACUUCAACAAUCAUGACUCCAGAUAAAACAUCCACCGCUAGUGCAAUAGAAACAUCUACAACAUCAGAGAUUUCCACAAUAACGAUUCCUGCUGAAACAUCCAUCACUAGUACACCGGAAACAUCUACAAUAUCAGAGACUUCCACAAUCAUGAUUCCUGAUGAAACAUCCACCACUAGUGCAGCAGAAACAUCUACAACAACAGAGACUUCCACAAUCAUGACACCUGAUGAAACAUCCACCACUAGUGCACCAGAAACAUCUACAUCAACAGAGACUUCCACAAUCACGACACCUGAUGAAACAUCCACUACUAGUUUAGCAGAAACAUCUACAACAACAGAGACUUCCACAAUCGCCACUCCUGAUGAAACAUCCACCACUAGUUUAUCAGAAACAUCUACAACAACAGAGACUUCCACAAUCAUGACACCUGACGAAACAUCCACCACUAGUGCACCAGAAACAUCUACAAGAACAGAGACUUCCACAAUCAUGACUCCUGCUGAAGCAUCCACCACUACUGCAGCAGAACCAUCAACAACAACAGAGACUUCCACAAUCAUGACUCCUGCUGAAACAUCCACCACUAGUGCACCAGAAACAUCUACAACAACAGAGACUUCCACAAUCACGACACCUGAUGAAACAUCCACCACUAGUGCACCAGAAACAUCUACAACAACAGAGACUUCCACAAUCACGACACCUGAUGAAACAUCC